UACAGAGACUGCAAGCGUUAUUCGGAUUCACUGGGCGUAAAGGGUGCGCAGGCGGUCGGGUGUGUCAGAUGUGAAAUCCCGAGGCUCAACCUCGGAACUGCGUCUGAAACUACUCGACUAGAGUACUGGAGAGGGUAACGGAAUUCACGGUGUAGCAGUGAAAUGCGUAGAUAUCGUGAGGAACACCAGAGGCGAAGGCGGUUACCUGGACAGUUCCUGACACUGAGACACGAAGGCCAGGGGAGCAAACGGG
rnacentral:rRNA from 1 species